rnacentral:rRNA from 1 species
CAGCAGCCACGGGAAUACGUAGGGUGCGAGCGUUAAUCGGAAUUACUGGGCGUAAAGCGUGCGCGGGCGGUUUUGUAAGACAGGCGUGAAAUCCCCGGGCUCAACCUGGGAAUGGCGCUUGUGACUGCAAAGCUAGAGUGCGGCAGAGGGGGAUGGGAUUCCGCGUGUAGCAGUGAAAUGCGUAGAUAUGCGGAGGAACACCGAUGGCGAAGGCAAUCCCCUGGGCCUGCACUGACGCUCAUGCACGAAAGCGUGGGGAGCAAACAGGAUUAGAUACCCGGGUAGUCCCUGUCUCUUAUAC